GAAAUGUGAUAAGUAAUGUGAAUUGCAGAAUUCAGUGAAUCAUCGAAUCUUUGAACGCACCUUGCGCUCUCUGGUAUUCCGGAGAGCAUGCCUGUUUGAGUGUCAUGAACUCUUCAACCCACCAGUUCCUUGUUGAACUGAUUGGUGUUUGGUUUCUGAGUGUUAUUGCUUUAGUUUUCGGACUUAAGCUCGCUCGUAAUACAUUAGCAUUUCAAUUUCGAAAUUUCGGAUUGACUCAGCGUAAUAGACUAUUCGCUGAGGACACCUUUUCAUUAGGGUGGCCGAGAUUAUGAUAACAGUUGAUGCUUCAAAUCCUACUAGUCAUUAUUUAUUGAUUAGACCUCAAAUCAGGUAGGACUACCCGCUGAACUUAA
rnacentral:misc_RNA from 1 species